GGGGGUGUAGCUCAGGUGGUAGAGCAUCUGCCUUUUAAGCAGGUGGUCGGCAGUUCGAGUCUGCCCACCCUCACCA
rnacentral:tRNA from 1 species